rnacentral:rRNA from 1 species
UACGUAGGGUGCAAGCGUUAUCCGGAAUUAUUGGGCGUAAAGAGCUCGUAGGCGGUUUGUCGCGUCUGCUGUGAAAACUGGGGGCUCAACCCCCAGCCUGCAGUGGGUACGGGCAGACUAGAGUGCGGUAGGGGAGUGUGGAAUUCCUGGUGGAGCGGUGAAAUGCGCAGAUAUCAGGAGGAACACCCGUAGCGAAGGCGGCACUCUGGGCCGAUACUGACACUGAGGAGCGAAAGCGUGGGGAGCGAACAGG